UCCAUGUGUAGCGGUGAAAUGCGUAGAUAUAUGGAGGAACACCAGUGGCGAAGGCGGCUCUCUGGUCUGUAACUGACGCUGAGGCUCGAAAGCGUGGGGAGCAAACAGGAUUAGAUACCUUGGUAGUCCACGCCGUAAACGAUGAGUGUUAAGUGUUGGAGGGUUUCCGCCCUUCAGUGCUGCAGCUAACCCAUUAACCAUUCCCCCUGGGGAGUACGACCGCAAGGUUGAAAUUCAAAGGAAUUGACGGGGGCCCGCCCAAGCGGUGGAGCAUGUGGUUUAAUUGGAAGCAACGGGAAGACCCUUACCAGGUCUUGACAUCCUUUGACCACUCUAGAGAUAGAGCUUCCCCUUCGGGGGCAAAGUGCCAGGUGGUGCAUGGUGGUCGUCAGUUCGUGUCGUGAGAUGUUGGGUUAAGUCCCGCAACGAGCGCAACCCUUAUUGUUAGUUGCCAUCAUUCAGUUGGCCAUUCUAGCAAGACUGCCGGUGACAAACCGGAGGAAGGUGGGGAGGACGUCAAAUCAUCAUGCCCCUUAUGCCCUGGGUUACACACGUGUUCCAAUGGGAAGU
rnacentral:rRNA from 1 species